rnacentral:rRNA from 1 species
CCCAUCUCACCAUAUCACCCUGUAGCCCAAGACUGGUUGCCCACUGAAGCUAAGCAGGGUUGAGCCUGGUUAGUACCUGGAUGGGAGACCUCCUGGGAAAACUAGGUUGCUGCUGGAA